GGGGUUUAGAGGCGCCGUGGGGCGGGACCGUGGGGGGAGGUGGAUGCGCGCUCCCGCCGCCUCCCGCGACCGCACGCAUCGCCACGGCCGCGGCCCCGCGUGGGCGUCGUGCCCCGUUCCCCCCUUCUCCCCAAACACCCUCCCCUUCCCCGCGCGGCCCCGAGCGCGCGCUCCCGCGCGUGGAGUGGGGAGGGGUGGGAAGGGAAGGGAAGGGGAGGGGAGGGGGGGCGCCGGCGGCGGAAGCGCGGCCGGGGAGAAGGGGAGCGGAGCGAGGCGGCGGCGGUUCCCGGGCCCGGUGCGGCGGGAUGCGGCGGGGGGCGGCGGCGUGCUGGGCGCUGCUGCUGCUGGCCGCCGCCUUCUGCGACAGCGCGGCCGGCAAAGGCGGCCGCGGCGGGGCCCGUGGGGCCGCCCGCGGCGGGGCCGCCCGCGGCCGGGGGAAGGCGGCAGCCCCCCGCUACGGCUCGGCCCUGCGGGGAGCGGCGGCGGCGGCGGCGGCGGGAGCGGCGGCGGGGGCCGCCCUGCGCCGGGCCCGGCCGGCGGGGGAGCUGGAAGCGGGCGAAGGCGCCGAGUACCGCGACGGCAACUGGACCUCCGCCGCCCCGGGCUGGGACACGCCGCGGGGCUGGGCCGCCUCCUGGCUCUGCCCGCUGGCCGCCAUCCUCCGGCGCUGACCCUCGUGGGGGGACCUGGCUGCGCCCGAUGCAGCUACCGACCGGCCACCCCGGGGGCUGAGCCGCCCCGGGGCUAGCAGUGGCCCCCCCCAGGGUUGCACCCACCCGGCCUCACCCCGUUACCGGGGCAGGACCCCGCGGGAAGCCCCUCCACCCUCUUCCUCCUACUUUCCAGCCCCGCGGCCAAACCCCGCUGGCUCGGGGCGCCCUGCUUGCGCCGUGCCUCCGUACGUGGGUCUUUGCGGCGUUUGGAGGACGGGGAGGUGGCAAUAAAGCUGGACGGAUAAAUAAA